UACGUAGGGGGCAAGCGUUAUCCGGAUUUAUUGGGUUUAAAGGGUGCGCAGGCGGAGGCACAAGUCAGCGGUAAAAUUUCGGGGCUCAACCCCGUCGUGCCGUUGAAACUGGCGUUCUUGAGUGGGCGAGAAGUACGCGGAAUGCGUGGUGUAGCGGUGAAAUGCAUAGAUAUCACGCAGAACUCCGAUUGCGAAGGCAGCGUACCGGCGCCCAACUGACGCUGAAGCACGAAGGCGUGGGUAUCGAACAGG
rnacentral:rRNA from 1 species